rnacentral:rRNA from 1 species
GCCUAACACAUGCAAGUCGAACGGCAGCACAGAAGAGCUUGCUCUUUGGGUGGCGAGUGGCGGACGGGUGAGUAAUGUCUGGGAAACUGCCCGAUGGAGGGGGAUAACUACUGGAAACGGUAGCUAAUACCGCAUAACGUCGCAAGACCAAAGUGGGGGACCUUCGGGCCUCACACCAUCGGAUGUGCCCAGAUGGGAUUAGCUAGUAGGUGGGGUAAUGGCUCACCUAGGCGACGAUCCCUAGCUGGUCUGAGAGGAUGACCAGCCACACUGGAACUGAGACACGGUCCAGACUCCUACGGGAGGCAGCAGUGGGGAAUAUUGCACAAUGGGCGCAAGCCUGAUGCAGCCAUGCCGCGUGUAUGAAGAAGGCCUUCGGGUUGUAAAGUACUUUCAGCGGGGAGGAAGGCGGUGAGGUUAAUAACCUUGCCGAUUGACGUUACCCGCAGAAGAAGCACCGGCUAACUCCGUGCCAGCAGCCGCGGUAAUACGGAGGGUGCAAGCGUUAAUCGGAAUUACUGGGCGUAAAGCGCACGCAGGCGGUCUGUUAAGUCAGAUGUGAAAUCCCCGGGCUUAACCUGGGAACUGCAUUUGAAACUGGCAGGCUUGAGUCUCGUAGAGGGGGGUAGAAUUCCAGGUGUAGCGGUGAAAUGCGUAGAGAUCUGGAGGAAUACCGGUGGCGAAGGCGGCCCCCUGGACGAAGACUGACGCUCAGGUGCGAAA